rnacentral:rRNA from 1 species
CCUACGGGAGGCAGCAGUGGGGGAUAUUGCACAAUGGGGGAAACCCUGAUGCAGCGACGCCGCGUGGGUGAAGAAGCGCCUCGGCGCGUAAAGCCCUGUCAGCAGGGAAGAAAAUGACGGUACCUGAAGAAGAAGCCCCGGCUAACUACGUGCCAGCAGCCGCGGUAAUACGUAGGGGGCAAGCGUUAUCCGGAUUUACUGGGUGUAAAGGGGGCGCAGACGGCGAUGCAAGCCAGGAGUGAAAGCCCGGGGCCCAACCCCGGGACUGCUCUUGGAACUGCGUAGCUAGAGUGCAGGAGGGGCAGGCGGAAUUCCUGGUGUAGCGGUGAAAUGCGUAGAUAUCAGGAGGAACACCGGUGGCGAAGGCGGCCUGCUGGACUGCAACUGACGUUGAGGCCCGAAAGCGUGGGGAGCAAACAGGAUUAGAUACCCCAGUAAUC